rnacentral:rRNA from 1 species
GUGAGGAAUAUUGGUCAAUGGGCGGGAGCCUGAACCAGCCAAGUUGCGUGAAGGAAGAAGGAUCUAUGGUUCGUAAACUUCUUUUGCAGGGGAAUAAAGUGCAGGACGUGUCCUGUUUUGUAUGUACCCUGAGAAUAAGGAUCGGCUAACUCCGUGCCAGCAGCCGCGGUAAUACGGAGGAUCCGAGCGUUAUCCGGAUUUAUUGGGUUUAAAGGGUGCGUAGGUGGUUUGAUAAGUCAGCGGUGAAAGUUUGCAGCUUAACUGUAAAAAUGCCGUUGAAACUGUCGGACUUGAGUGUAAAUGAGGUAGGCGGAAUGCGUGGUGUAGCGGUGAAAUGCAUAGAUAUCACGCAGAACUCCGAUUGCGAAGGCAGCUUACUAAGCUACAACUGACACUGAAGCACGAAAGCGUGGGGAUCAAACAGGAUUAGAAACCCGAGUAGUCC